UGAGUACUCCCUCCCUUCCAAAAUUCUUGUCUUAACUUUGUUUAGAAAUGGAUGUAUCUAAAUACUAAAACUUGACUAGAUACAUUUAUAUCUAAACAAAUCUAAGACAANNNNUUUGGGAUGGAGGGAGUACUAA
rnacentral:pre_miRNA from 1 species